UACGUAGGUGGCAAGCGUUGUCCGGAAUUAUUGGGCGUAAAGCGCGCGCAGGUGGGAUGUUAAGUCUGCUGUAAAAGUGCGGGGCUCAACCCCGUGAAGCGACAGAUACUGGCAUUCUUGAGUGCAGGAGAGGAAAGCGGAAUUCCCAGUGUAGCGGUGAAAUGCGUAGAUAUUGGGAGGAACACCAGUGGCGAAGGCGGCUUUCUGGACUGUGUCUGACACUGAGGCGCGAAAGCUAGGGGAGCGAACG
rnacentral:rRNA from 1 species